rnacentral:tRNA from 1 species
GGCCUGAUGGUCUAGUAGCAUGAUUCUUCCUUUGGGUACUGAUUCGUAUUAAUGCUCUGGAAGAGGUCCUGGGUUCAAUUCCCAGUCAGGCCC